GAGGGUAUGAAGACAAUUUAGCUGAAUUACCUUAACUAACAACAUAAACUAAUGUGACUGGAAUGUUUUAUGUGUGUAUAUCACUGUACUUUCCUGUUUGCAGCCAUCACACAUCCUUGUCCUACAUCUCACAAAACAGUGCCAUUGUUACCCCUUUUUGCUCUGGAUAUGUGUGUGUGUAUUUCUGUAUUUAUAUAUUCAUAUAUUUAAUAUAUAACAUGCAUAUAUUUAAACAUAAUAGCUUUGAAAGUGAGUCCAUGCAUUGAUUUUAGAAUAUUUAAUAUUGAUAUAAUUUAAAUAUUCAAUUUUUCUUGUACAGCUAUGAGGAAAUAGAGCUGUGUGAGUAUUGACCAAAUUUUAUAUACAAAUAAACAAAUGAGAUUGUCCAAGGUAAACCAAACAAAUGAGAAUGGCUUGUCUUGUGAGACAGGUUGAUUGGUGAAAAGAAACUGGUUGAUCACAGGAGCUAAAAUUCCAGUAAAAGAGAGACUUCCAGAAGCACAAGGAGUGAACACAGUUCUCCCCGCUCCACUGGAGACUCAGCUGAUCCAUCAGGACACAGUCAGGUCGGUUCCUAGGCCACUGUGGAAUAGGACGCAGCACAGGAGGGAAAAUGACAGCAGCAUGUUAGAAUGGAAGUUUGGCCAAUGUUCUGGAACUAAAUGAAGGGAAUGGAAACCAGGAAGUAGUACAUCCUUCAGGCUGUGUUCCUAUACCAUGGAGUGCAUGAGAAGUCAGGGUUUUUCUCCAGGAGUAGGAAAUUGUUGAAUGUAAAGUCCUUCACCCAAGGAAGAUCUACAAGAAAGGAUCCUGGGAAUCAACAGUCAUGGAAUCAACUACUUUCCAGGUCCACUCAGUGAUGGUGCUGCUGCUCUAUCUCCUGUGUGCCCUCAGUAUCCAGAGUUUCUGAAACCUCCUGGGUACCUCCCACCUCCUGUGUUCUUCAUGGUACAGGAUCCUCUGGCAUCCCAGUGGCAGCCCUGGAACACAAACACUCCAUGGGUAGCUCCACACCUGCUUCUUGCCAUGGUCCCAAAAGCCUCCAGCUACCAGCAGCCAUGCUCAGCCUCUUGCAACCAACCAGAUCCUCAAUGAAGACCCUCUCUGGAACAGAAUUGUGCAAUUUUGUAACUGUUGGUUUAUUGCUGUACUUACUAUAAGAACUAAGGGAAAAAUGCAGAGAAAGAUCAAUGGACACAGGGUCUGCUGAGGAAUAUGUAACAGUAGACUUCAGACUGGGUUAUGCUCAGAGCCCUAGAGACUGGAAUGUACUAGAUGCUGUCACCAGCAAAUUACCUAGAUACUUUGUCCACUUAUAUAUGACAAGGACACUUAUUUGUUCCAUUCCCACAUGACCAAAGGGUUAAUGACCCUCCCUCAACUUCUCUUAAAAAGGACUAAUUCUUGAUUUGGGAAGCCUCCAGACUUUCUCAUAUUCCAUAAAGCUGCAAUUACUGUUAACAGGAUAUUAGCGUGCAGGUUUUAACAGAAGAAUUGAAGUUAUUAGGCCAAAAA